rnacentral:rRNA from 1 species
UAGGGAAUCUUGGACAAUGGGCGAAAGCCUGAUCCAGCGACGCCGCGUGGGGGACGAAGGCCCUCGGGUUGUAAACCCCUGUUGUUGGGAAAGAAGCCGGCCCUUCGGGGUUGGUGACGGUACCCAACGAGGAAGCCCCGGCUAACUACGUGCCAGCAGCCGCGGUAAGACGUAGGGGGCGAGCGUUAUCCGGAUUCACUGGGCGUAAAGGGCGCGCAGGCGGCUAUGUAAGUCCGGCGUGAAAUCCCACGGCUCAACUGUGGAACUGCGUCGGAUACUGCAUUGGCUUGAGGAUGGUAGAGGCCAUUAGAACUAGCGGUGUAGCGGUGAAAUGCGCAGAUAUCGCUAGGAAUGCCGGUGGCGAAGGCGGAUGGCUGGGCCAAUCCUGACGCUGAGGCGCGAAAGCUAGGGGAGCGAACCGGAUUAGAUACCCCCGUAGUCC